rnacentral:tRNA from 1 species
UCCCUGGUAGCUCAGCUGGUAGAGCAAUUGGCUGUUAACCAAUGGGUCUGUGGUUCGAAUCCGCACCGGGGAGCCA